AUACAAGAGUUAUUGGUAUUAAUACUGAGUAAUAUUGGCUAAGGCAAGCAAAUUAUUGUAACUAUGUAUUUUGCUGAUAUCAUUUACAUUAUAGUGUACAUUAUAACUGAAGUUGUGUUCUACAUGUAGACAAUUGUAUUAUAAAAACCUUCUUUUUGUGUAUUUGCAGGACUACCUGCCACCUUUGUUAACUAGUAAAACAAUAAAGAUCUUAUCAUCAAAUAUGUCACUUUCUAUCAGCCUCACUAUACACCUGGCUACAUUUG
rnacentral:lncRNA from 1 species